rnacentral:tRNA from 1 species
GGGAGUGUAGCUCAGUGGUAGAGCACAGGCCUGUCACGCCUGGGGUCGCGAGUUCAAAUCUCGUCUCUCCCG